rnacentral:rRNA from 1 species
AGCUCCAAUAGCGUAUAUUAAAGUUGUUGCAGUUAAAAAGCUCGUAGUUGGAUUUCUGUUUUUUGUUACCGGUCCGCUCAUGUAUUUGAGUGUGUACUAUGGUUACUGAAUUCAUUUUUUGUAAGGAGGUUCUACUGGCAUUAAGUUGUCCGGUGGUACGUACUUGCAUCUUUUACUGUGAAAAAAUUAGAGUGUUUAAAGCAGGCGUUCGCUUUAUUUGAAUACAUUAGCAUGGAAUAAUAAGAUACGACUUGUGUGGUCUAUUUUGUUGGUUUGCACACGCGAGUAAUGAUUAAUAGGGACAGUUGGGGGUAUUCAUAUUUCAGCGUCAGAGGUGAAAUUCUUGGAUCGCUGAAAGAUGAGCUUAGGCGAAAGCAUUUACCAUGGAUGUUUUCAUUAA